UCUUCAAUUGGCGGCGAUGACGCGCAGGUCUGUUUUUUGGUCGCUUAUCGGUUUGUUGCCGAGAGGGCCUGCGCCGAGCCAAUAGCGAAACCGGCCAGUUGUUAC
rnacentral:ncRNA from 1 species